rnacentral:rRNA from 1 species
CCCUUAGAGUUUGAUCCUGGCUCAGAGCGAACGCUGGCGGCAGGCUUAACACAUGCAAGUCGAACGGGCACCUUCGGGUGUCAGUGGCAGACGGGUGAGUAACACGUGGGAACGUACCCUUUGGUUCGGAACAACUCUGGGAAACUGGAGCUAAUACCGGAUACGCCCUUGGCUUUUGGCUUUGGGGAAAGGUUGACUGCCGAAGGAUCGGCCCGCGUCUGAUUAGCUAGUUGGUGAGGUAACGGCUCACCAAGGCGACGAUCAGUAGCUGGUCUGAGAGGAUGAUCAGCCACACUGGGACUGAGACACGGCCCAGACUCCUACGGGAGGCAGCAGUGGGGAAUAUUGGACAAUGGGCGCAAGCCUGAUCCAGCCAUGCCGCGUGAGUGAUGAAGGCCUUAGGGUUGUAAAGCUCUUUUGUCCGGGACGAUAAUGACGGUACCGGAAGAAUAAGCCCCGGCUAACUUCGUGCCAGCAGCCGCGGUAAUACGAAGGGGGCUAGCGUUGCUCGGAAUCACUGGGCGUAAAGGGCGCGUAGGCGGCCUGAUCAGUCGGGGGUGAAAGCCUGUGGCUCAACCACAGAAUGGCCUUCGAUACUGUCAGGCUUGAGACCGGAAGAAGUAAGUGGAACUGCGAGUGUAGAGGUGAAAUUCGUAGAUAUUCGCAAGAACACCAGUGGCG